rnacentral:tRNA from 1 species
GCCCGGGUGGCGGAACAGGUAGACGCUGCGGACUUAAAAUCCGCUGGUACAUUACCGUGUGGGUUCGAAUCCCACCCCGGGCACCA